GAUGAAGAACGUAGUGAAAUGCGAUAAGUAAUGUGAAUUGCAGAAUUCAGUGAAUCAUCGAAUCUUUGAACGCACAUUGCGCCCGCCAGUAUUCUGGCGGGCAUGCCUGUUCGAGCGUCAUUACAACCCUCAGGCCCCCGGGCCUGGCGUUGGGGAUCGGCGGAAGCCCCCUGCGGGCACAACGCCGUCCCCCAAAUACAGUGGCGGUCCCGCCGCAGCUUCCAUUGCGUAGUAGCUAACACCUCGCAACUGGAGAGCGGCGCGGCCACGCCGUAAAACACCCAACUCUUCUGAAGUUGACCUCGAAUCAGGUAGGAAUACCCGCUGAACUUAAGCAUAUCAAUAAGCGGAGGA
rnacentral:misc_RNA from 1 species